GUCCAGACUCCUACGGGAGGCAGCAGUGGGGGAUAUUGCGCAAUGGGGGAAACCCUGAUGCAGCGACGCCGCGUGUGGGAAGACGGUCUUCUGGAUUGUAAACCACUGUCCCCAGGGACGAAAAUGACGGUACCUGGGGAGGAAGCUCCGGCUAACUACGUGCCAGCAGCCGCGGUAAUACGUAGGGAGCAAGCGUUGUCCGGAAUUACCGGGUGUAAAGGGAGCGUAGGCGGGGAUGCAAGCCAGGAGUGAAAGCCCGGGGCCCAACCCCGGGACUGCUCUUGGAACUGCGUGGCUGGAGUGCAGGAGGGGCAGGCGGAAUUCCUGGUGUAGCGGUGAAAUGCGUAGAUAUCAGGAGGAACACCGGUGGCGAAGGCGGCCUGCUGGACUGCAACUGACGUUGAGGCCCGAAAGCGUGGGGAGCAAACGGGAUUAGAUACCCCAGUAUA
rnacentral:rRNA from 1 species